rnacentral:rRNA from 1 species
CCUACGGGAGGCUGCAGUGAGGAAUAUUGGUCAAUGGGCGGAAGCCUGAACCAGCCAAGUAGCGUGCAGGAUGACGGCCCUACGGGUUGUAAACCGCUUUUGCACGGGGAUAACACCCUCCACUUGUGGAGGUCUGCAGGUACCGUUCGAAUAAGGGCCGGCUAAUUCCGUGCCAGCAGCCGCGGUAAUACGGAAGGCCCGAGCGUUAUCCGGAUUCAUUGGGCUAAAAGGGAGCGUAGGCGGGCGUUCAAGUCAGCUGUAAAAUCGCGCGGCUCAACCGCGCCCCGCAGUUGAAACUGGACGCCUUGAGUUCACAACAGGCAGGCGGAAUUCGUGGUGUAGCGGUGAAAUGCAUAGAUAUCACGAGGAACCCCGAUUGCGAAGGCAGCCUGCCGGGGUGCGACUGACGCUGAGGCUCGAAGGUGCGGGUAUCAAACAGGAUUAGAUACCCUGGUAGUC